rnacentral:sRNA from 1 species
UCCCAAGUAGCUGGGACUACAGGAGCCCACCACCACCCCCGGCUAAUUUUUUGUAUUUUUAGUAGAGACGGGGUUUCACCAUGUUAGCCAAGAUGGUCUUGAUCUCCUGACCUCGUGAUCCACCCGCCUUGGCCUCCCAAAGUGCUGGGAUUACAGGCAUGAGCCACCGCGCCCGGCCUCCAUUCAAGUCUUUAUUGAAUAUCUGCUAUGUUCUACACACUGUUCUAGGUGCUGGGGAUGCAACAGAGGACAAAAUAGGCAAAAUCCCUGUCCUUUUGGGGUUGACAUUCUAGUGACUCUUCAUGUAGUCUAGAAGAAGCUCAGUGAAUAGUGUCUGUGGUUGUUACCAGGGACACAAUGACAGGAACAUUCUUGGGUAGAGUGAGAGGCCUGGGGAGGGAAGGGUCUCUAAGAUGGAGCAGAUGCUGGGCAGUCUUAGGGAGCCCCUCCUGGCAUGCACCCCCUCAUCCCUCAGGCCACCCCCGUCCCUUGCAGGAGCACCCUGGGGAGCUGUCCAGAGCGCUGUGCCGCUGUCUGUGGCUGGAGGCAGAGUAGGUGGUGUGCUGGGAAUGCGAGUGGGAGAACUGGGAUGGGCCGAGGGGAGGCGGGUGAGGAGGGGGGCAACCACCCAACACCCACCAGCUGCUUUCAGUGUUCUGGGUCCAGGUGCUCCUGGCUGGCCUUGUGGUCCCCCUCCUGCUUGGGGCCACCCUGACCUACACAUACCGCCACUGCUGGCCUCACAAGCCCCUGGUUACUGCAGAUGAAGCUGGGAUGGAGGCUCUGACCCCACCACCGGCCACCCAUCUGUCACCCUUGGACAGCGCCCACACCCUUCUAGCACCUCCUGACAGCAGUGAGAAGAUCUGCACCGUCCAGUUGGUGGGUAACAGCUGGACCCCUGGCUACCCCGAGACCCAGGAGGCGCUCUGCCCGCAGGUGACAUGGUCCUGGGACCAGCUGCCCAGCAGAGCUCUUGGCCCCGCUGCUGCGCCCACACUCUCGCCAGAGUCCCCAGCCGGCUCGCCAGCCAUGAUGCUGCAGCCGGGCCCGCAGCUCUACGACGUGAUGGACGCGGUCCCAGCGCGGCGCUGGAAGGAGUUCGUGCGCACGCUGGGGCUGCGCGAGGCAGAGAUCGAAGCCGUGGAGGUGGAGAUCGGCCGCUUCCGAGACCAGCAGUACGAGAUGCUCAAGCGCUGGCGCCAGCAGCAGCCCGCGGGCCUGGGAGCCGUUUACGCGGCCCUGGAGCGCAUGGGGCUGGACGGCUGCGUGGAAGACUUGCGCAGCCGCCUGCAGCGCGGCCCGUGACACGGCGCCCACUUGCCGCCUAGGCGCUCUGGUGGCCCUUGCAGAAGCCCUAAGUACGGUUACUUAUGCGUGUAGACAUUUUAUGUCACUUAUUAAGCCGCUGGCACGGCCCUGCGUAGCAGCACCAGCCGGCCCCACCCCUGCUCGCCCCUAUCGCUCCAGCCAAGGCGAAGAAGCACGAACGAAUGUCGAGAGGGGGUGAAGACAUUUCUCAAUUUCUCGGCCGGAGUUUGGCUGAGAUCGCGGUAUUAAAUCUGUGAAAGAAAAAAACAAAACAAAACAAAACAAAACAAAAA